rnacentral:rRNA from 1 species
GAUGAACGCUGGCGGCGUGCCUAAUACAUGCAAGUCGAGCGAACGGACGAGAAGCUUGCUUCUCUGAUGUUAGCGGCGGACGGGUGAGUAACACGUGGAUAACCUACCUAUAAGACUGGGAUAACUUCGGGAAACCGGAGCUAAUACCGGAUAAUAUUUUGAACCGCAUGGUUCAAAAGUGAAAGACGGUCUUGCUGUCACUUAUAGAUGGAUCCGCGCUGCAUUAGCUAGUUGGUAAGGUAACGGCAUACCAAGGCAACGAUGCAUAGCCGACCUGAGAGGGUGAUCGGCCACACUGGAACUGAGACACGGUCCAGACUCCUACGGGAGGCAGCAGUAGGGAAUCUUCCGCAAUGGGCGAAAGCCUGACGGAGCAACGCCGCGUGAGUGAUGAAGGUCUUCGGAUCGUAAAACUCUGUUAUUAGGGAAGAACAUAUGUGUAAGUAACUGUGCACAUCUUGACGGUACCUAAUCAGAAAGCCACGGCUAACUACGUG